rnacentral:rRNA from 1 species
GAAGGAUCAUUAAUGAAUUUUAGGACGUUCUUUUUAGAAGUCCGACCCUUUCAUUUUCUUACACUGUGCACACACUUCUUUUUUACACACACUUUUAACACCUUAGUAUAAGAAUGUAAUAGUCUCUUAAUUGAGCAUAAAUAAAAACAAAACUUUCAGCAACGGAUCUCUUGGCUCUCGCAUCGAUGAAGAACGCAGCGAAUUGCGAUAAGUAAUGUGAAUUGCAGAAUUCAGUGAAUCAUCGAAUCUUUGAACGCACCUUGCACUCUUUGGUAUUCCGAAGAGUAUGUCUGUUUGAGUGUCAUGAAACUCUCAACCCCCCUAUUUUGUAAUGAGAUGGGUGUGGGCUUGGAUUAUGGUUGUCUGUCGGCGUAAUUGCCGGCUCAACUGAAAUACACGAGCAACCCUAUUGAAAUAAACGGUUUGACUUGGCGUAAUAAUUAUUUCGCUAAGGACGUUUUCUUCAAAUAUAAGAGGUGCUUCUAAUUCGCUUCUAAUAGCAUUUAAGCUUUAGACCUCAAAUCAGUCAGGACUACCCGCUGAACUUAAGCAUA